GGCAUUCCCGGAGGACCUGGCGCGCAGAGGAAGGAAGGAGGAGCUCCAGAGAGGGUGGCGGCCCCUCUACCUCUUGCUGCCUCGCUCUCUGGGUUUGCCGCGGAGGAAAGCACGUGCUUCCCCUGCAGUCUGCCAGCACCCAUCUGCUAUCUCCCUGCCCUUCCCCUUCUCCCGGAGCACGGCCCACAAGUGCCUUGCCUCGUUAGUCACGGGCCGGGGCCAGCCGCACCGCAAAAGGUGGGGUAGUUUUUUAUCCCCCUCUCUGUUUUUUC
ensembl:lncRNA